rnacentral:rRNA from 1 species
CAGCAGCCGCGGUAAUACGAAGGGGGCUAGCGCUGCUCGGAAUGACUGGGCGUAAAGGGAGCGUAGGCGGAUCGUUAAGUUGGGGGUGAAAGCCCGGGGCUCAACCUCGGAAUUGCCUUCAAUACUGGCGAUCCUGAGUAUGGAAGAGGUAUGUGGAACUCCGAGUGUAGAGGUGAAAUUCGUAGAUAUUCGGAAGAACACCAGUGGCGAAGGCGACAUACUGGUCCAUUACUGACGCUGAGGCUCGAAAGCGUGGGGAGCAAACAGGACUAGAGACCCCCGUAGUCCCUGUCUCUUAUAC